rnacentral:rRNA from 1 species
CUCCUACGGGAGGCAGCAGUGAGGAAUAUUGGUCAAUGGGCGAGAGCUGAACCAGCCAAGUAGCGUGCAGGAUGACGGCCCUAUGGGUUGUAAACUGCUUUUAUAAGGGAAUAAAGUGAGUCUCGUGAGACUUUUUGCAUGUACCUUAUGAAUAAGGACCGGCUAAUUCCGUGCCAGCAGCCGCGGUAAUACGGAAGGUCCGGGCGUUAUCCGGAUUUAUUGGGUUUAAAGGGAGCGUAGGCCGGAGAUUAAGCGUGUUGUGAAAUGUAGACGCUCAACGUCUGCACUGCAGCGCGAACUGGUUUCCUUGAGUACGCACAAAGUGGGCGGAAUUGCGUGGUGUAGCGGUGAAAUGCUUAAAUAUCACGAAGAACUCCGAUUGCGAAAGCAGCUCACUGGAGCGCAACUGACGCUGAAGCUCGAAAAUGCGGGUAUACAACAAGGUUAAAUAACCCGGUAAUCCGCCCGGUAAAAGAUGGAUGCCCGCUGUUGGUCUCAAUAAGUCAACGGCC